AUGCAUCCAAUAAAAAACUGCACACUAAACAGUAUUUCAAUUCUGUAAGCCCAAUUGACAGUGCGGCUUAAUAUAACUCGUUAAAUUUGUGUCAGAACCGACUGCUGAAUCACAACACUUCGUGAAAAAAAUCAGUAUUCCAUUGGAACCCGGAAGCGCCUGCGGUCAAGCGACGAGAAUGACUUGAGCGUCGUCAAUAUAUUAACAGUCCACUACAAAAUUAUAUAACGAAGGAUUAACGUUGGCGGUCUCCACUAUAACUCCGCUCGAAAGACUAUGCAUCGAUCAAGGCAAUUCCAACAAUUUUGCUGCCUUCUUUUCUGCCGGUGCUGAUCGGUAUUCCAACCAGUGUGCAUGCUGUAAACCAGACAACAAGGGAUUCAUUCUUCGGCCCCGACUUGGGAGAUGCGCUGUCGGCCGUGUCUCAAGCGGAACUCAGCCGACAGAUCUCAGAGGCAGACCAGCGAUCAAAACCGGCGCGGCCAAGAAAAUCUUCAACCUUCGUCGGCUUCGGGGGCGAGGUCCUGGCAAACCACACGGGCAAUGCCUCUAUGUCAGCGGAAUCACAGCCAGAGAUACUUCCAGCCUUUAUCGGCUCCGGGUUCCGUCGGGCCCCGCCCCGGUCUUCCAUGUCAGUUGUUAUACCAUCGCCAGGGAACAGUCCAACUUUCGGCGGCUUCGGAGGCGAGGUCCUGGCACACACGCGCAACGGCCCAAGCAGCGCAGCGUCAUCUACACUCUACCCCUCCGAUCUAUGGAUGCCGUCGGUCGCGUCAAAAGGGGAAGACACCCUAUGGCGCUCAGAGGGAUCCGGGUUCCGCAGACGCGAGCGGCCGUGUGAGCCCCAUGUUCUGUCCGGCUGCAGCGCUAAAUGGAAGUAUUGCGGCUGUGACCUACCGGCACUAAAUUUCAGCACCACCUUACCAGUCACCGACACCAUCAAUAUUGGAAGCUGGAACGGUUCAGAUCAGUCCUGCACUCCCAGCUGUCUGCUCGAUACGUUCACGCCCCUUCCCCCCGGUCCGAAAGUUUCUAGAGUGCAACUGACGAAUAUCUGGGCGGCGCCGGAUAAUCGGCCGUUCCCCGUCGCUGAAUAUCUGGCGAAUCUGCAGACGACGUUGUCAAACUUGGAAUUAUUUAAAAUGUAUUUGCCUACGAUCACGAGAGACUCCUUUGCUGGGUUCGUGGCGCUGUGGCGGUUGGUGAUAUUGCACAGCCACGUGUCAGCCAUUGAUAUCAAUGCAUUUGCAACCGUGGGAGACCGACCCGGAUCCGCUUUACCGCAACUGUGGUCGCUCACUAUCAGCCAUAAUAAUAUUGCCACACUCGAUUGGUCGGUCUUUGCGCCGCUGAUGAGCAGCGUCAAGUUUAUUGAACUGGAAAACGACAACAUCCAGCGCAUUGUCCGCAGCCGUUCCUACGUGGUACACAGCCUAGAGAGCGUCAGAAUAGUUGGUAACCCUAACUUGACCAGCAUCGACGACCGCUUCUUGCGCAGUGUCUCCUCUGCUUCCCGUCCACCGGUUUUGGAUCUAACGGACAGCCCUAUCUGCUCGGAUUCCGCGCGCUGUCAACGGAUCGCUGAGAUCCACGGUCCGAUCUAUUGCUGCUGGGCUGCAGCGCAGAAACAAACACCCCGAUGAACGAUGGCCUUAACAAGACAACCGAGAAGCACAGCUGAGGCGAAAGAAAACCAUCCAAUUGGUUAACCAUGUUGUAACUAGAUGGUCUGGCUGUGCGAAUUCACGGGGAACGGAUCCUGCUGUACAUAAUCAAAUUUUAGUAGCGCCGCUUAAUUUUUUCGUACGGGACAGUGAACGUUUUAAAAAGCUGAGCCAGUGGGGCUUUCUGAUUUUAAUAUAUCCGGUGAAAGCUGCUUCGGUGAUCGGAAAACU